UCAGUCUCCUCAUCUGUUUACAACACACCCGACAGGAAUCAGGGUUCAUUGUGACAAGGGGCACAAAACUUGUGGCCUUCCUAUGAACAGAUACCCAACACGU
rnacentral:snoRNA from 1 species